GGGUCAAUGAUUAGAAUUUUUCUUGGUGAAGAGAGAUGAUGACAUAAAAAUCAUGCUCAAUAGGAUUACACUGGGGUAC
ensembl:snoRNA SNORD115 Small nucleolar RNA SNORD115